GAAAUGCGAUAAGAAGUGUGAAUUGCAGAAUUCAGUGAAUCAUCGAAUCUUUGAACGCACAUUGCGCCCUUUGGUAUUCCAAAGGGCAUGCCUGUUCGAGCGUCAUUUGUACCCUCAAGCUUUGCUUGGUGUUGGGCGUCUUGUCUCUAGCUUUGCUGGAGACUCGCCUUAAAGUAAUUGGCAGCCGGCCUACUGGUUUCGGAGCGCAGCACAAGUCGCACUCUCUAUCAGCAAAGGUCUAGCAUCCAUUAAGCCUUUUUUCAACUUUUGACCUCGGAUCAGGUAGGGAUACCCGCUGAACUUAAGC
rnacentral:misc_RNA from 1 species